UUGAUAGGCUGGGUGUGGAAGCGCAGUAAUGCGUUAAGCUAACCAGUACUAAUUGCUCGUGCGGCUUGACCCUAUAACUUUG
rnacentral:rRNA from 1 species